rnacentral:rRNA from 1 species
AUGAACGCUGGCGGCGUGCCUAAUCCAUGCCAGUCGCGCGAACAGACGAGGAGCUUGCUCCUCUGACGUUAGCGGCGGUCGGGUGAGUAACACGUGGAUAACCUACCUAUAAGACUGGGAUAACUUCGGGAAACCGGAGCUAAUACCGGAUAAUAUAUUGAACCGCAUGGUUCAAUAGUGAAAGACGGUUUUGCUGUCACUUAUAGAUGGAUCCGCGCCGCAUUAGCUAGUUGGUAAGGUAACGGCUUACCAAGGCAACGAUGCGUAGCCGACCUGAGAGGGUGAUCGGCCACACUGGAACUGAGACACGGUCCAGACUCCUACGGGAGGCAGCAGUAGGGAAUCUUCCGCAAUGGGCGAAAGCUUGACGGAGCAACGCCGCGUGAGUGAUGAAGGUCUUCGGAUCGUAAAACUCUGUUAUUAGGGAAGAACAAAUGUGUAAGUAACUAUGCACGUCUUGACGGUACCUAAUCAGAAAGCCACGGCUAACUACGUG